GGCGCACGGGUGCGUAACGCGUAUGCAACCUACCUUUAACAGGGGGAUAACACUGAGAAAUUGGUACUAAUACCCCAUAAUAUCAUAGAAGGCAUCUUUUAUGGUUGAAAAUUCCGAUGGUUAGAGAUGGGCAUGCGUUGUAUUAGCUAGUUGGUGGGGUAACGGCUCACCAAGGCGACGAUACAUAGGGGGACUGAGAGGUUAACCCCCCACACUGGUACUGAGACACGGACCAGACUCC
rnacentral:rRNA from 1 species